UACGAAGGGGGCUAGCGUUGCUCGGAAUUACUGGGCGUAAAGCGCGCGUAGGUGGUUUGUUAAGUUGAAUGUGAAAGCCCCGGGCUCAACCCGGGAGGGUCGUGGCAAACCGGCGGGCUUGAGGCCGGUAGAGGUGGGUGGAACUCCUGGUGGAGUGGUGGAAAUGCGUAGAGAUCAGGAAGAACACCCGUGGCGAAGGCGGCCCACUGGGCCGGUACUGACGCUGAGGCGCGAAGGCGUGGGGAGCGAACGGG
rnacentral:rRNA from 1 species